CCCCUUAGGUGGGGGCCUCUGGAGAGCGCGCCCGUCACCUGGCGGCCGUCGGACCUCAGGCCCAGAGAGCCCAGCACCAGGUUCAGUUGCCAAGGGACACCUCCAAAGAGGACUGCUGAGCCACAGGUGGUCCGUGCGCGCCCCAGACUGCGCUCCUUCGCUCCUUGAGAAGUAACGGAGAGAGAGAGAGACUAAGAGAAAAGAGGAAGAGAGACAGAGACAGAAAGGACUUCUCUGGUGGCACAGCGGUUAAGAAUCUGCCUGCCAAUGCAGGGGACGUGGGUUUGAUCCCUGGUCCGGGAAGAUCCCACAUGCCACGGAGCAACUAAGCCCUUGCACCACAACUACUGAGCCUAUGCUCUGGAGCCCGCACGCCACAACUACUGAGCCCGCGCACCACAACUACUGAAGCCUGCACACCCUAGAGCCUGCACACUGCAACUACUGAGCCCACAUGCCACAACUACUGAAGCCCGCGUGCUCUAGGGCCCACGUGCUGCAACUACUGAGCCCGUGUGCUGCAACUACUGAAGCCCACGCACCUAGAGCCUGUGCUCCUCAACAAGAGAAGCCCACACACCGCAACGAAAAGUAGCCCCCACUCUCCGCAACUAGAGAAAGCCUGCGCGCAGCGAUGAAGACCCAGCGCAGCCAAAAAUAAAAUUAAAUAAAUAAAUAAAUAAAAGAAGAAAUGUGUAUUUAAAAAUUAAAAAAUAAAUAAACCAUGUUUUUGAAAUGAAAA